rnacentral:rRNA from 1 species
ACGUAGGGUGCGAGCGUUGUCCGGAAUUAUUGGGCGUAAAGGGCUCGUAGGCGGUUUGUUGCGUCGGGAGUGAAAACACCGGGCUUAACUCGGUGCUUGCUUUCGAUACGGGCAGACUAGAGGCAUGCAGGGGAGAAUGGAAUUCCUGGUGUAGCGGUGAAAUGCGCAGAUAUCAGGAGGAACACCGGUGGCGAAGGCGGUUCUCUGGGCAUGUUCUGACGCUGAGGAGCGAAAGUGUGGGGAGCGAACAGGAUUAGAUACCCUGGUAGUCCACACCGUAAACGUUGGGCGCUAGGUGUGGGAUCCAUUCCACGGGUUCCGUGCCGUAGCUAACGCAUUAAGCGCCCCGCCUGGGGAGUACGGCCGCAAGGCUA